AUUGAACGCUGGCGGCAGGCCUAACACACGCAAGUCGAACGAGUGGCGGACGGGUGCGUAAUGUCUGGGAAACUGCCUGAUGGAGGGGGAUAACUACUGGAAACGGUAGCUUAUCCCGCAUACCAUCAGAUGCGCCCAGAUGGGAUUGGUUAGUUGGUGGGGUAACGGCUCACCAAGGCGACGAUCCCUAGCUGGUCUGAGAGGAUGACCAGCCACACUGGAACUGUGGCACGGGCCAGACUCCUACGGGAGGCAGCAGUGGGAAAUAUUGCACAAUGGGCGCAAGCCUGAUGCAGCCAUGCCGCGUGUAGGAAGAAGGCCUUCGGGUUGUAAAGUACUUUCAGCGAGGAGGCGUUACCCGCAGAAGAGGCACCGGCUAACUCCGUGCCAGCAGCCGCGGUAAUAC
rnacentral:rRNA from 1 species